rnacentral:lncRNA from 1 species
CUUUUCGAGAUAUUUGAAAUUUAAAAUAUGGCGGGAAAAGGCUGACUCGGACUUUUACCUUAUAUUUGCAUUGGUAUUAUUUGGGUCUCAAAACAAAAGAAAGAAAAUUAAGAAUCAUCUAAAAUUUUGGUAACCUUUCAUGAGCUAUUAAAUCUUAUAUGAAAAAAUAAAUGGGUGUUAUGGGGCAAAAUAUUUUACAUUGUAUUGUAUGGAAAUACACCAAGGAGUCCGAACAUUUGACACAAAUUCCAAAACCUCACA